UACGGAGGGAGCUAGCGUUGUUCGGAAUUACUGGGCGUAAAGCGCGCGUAGGCGGCUUUGUAAGUUAGAGGUGAAAGCCCGGGGCUCAACCCCGGAACUGCCUUUAAAACUGCAUCGCUUGAAUCCGGGAGAGGUGAGUGGAAUUCCGAGUGUAGAGGUGAAAUUCGUAGAUAUUCGGAAGAACACCAGUGGCGAAGGCGGCUCACUGGACCGGCAUUGACGCUGAGGUGCGAAAGCGUGGGGAGCAAACAGG
rnacentral:rRNA from 1 species